AACGAACGCUGGCGGCAUGCCUAACACAUGCAAGUCGAACGACACCACCGGGACUAGUUGCGCAUGGGGGCGUAACGUGGGGGAACCUGCCCUUAGGCUCCGAAUAACACUUUGUCAGGGGUGCUAAUAUCGGGUAACUUCCUCGGAUAAAAGAUUGAUCUUCCUGGUGUGGGCCGGAGUUGGUUUGGCCUGUCGGUAGUGAAAAAGCCUACCAAGGCUUGGAUCCUUAGCUGGUUUGAGAGAAUGAUCCGCCACACUGGGACUGUGACACGGCCCAGACUCCUACGGGAGGCAGGAGUGGGGGAUAUUGGAAAAUGGGCGGAAGCAUGAUCCAGCAAGGCCGGGUGAGUGAUGAAGGCGUUAGAGUUGUAAAGCUCUUUUACCCGGGAUGAUAAUGACGGUACCGGGAGAAUAAGCACCGGCUAACUCCGUG
rnacentral:rRNA from 1 species